rnacentral:rRNA from 1 species
UACGAAGGGGGCGAGCGUUGUUCGGAUUUACUGGGCGUAAAGAGCUCGUAGGUGGUUUGUCGCGUUGUUCGUGAAAACUCACAGCUCAACUGUGGGCGUGCGGGCGAUACGGGCAGACUAGAGUACUGCAGGGGAGACUGGAAUUCCUGGUGUAGCGGUGGAAUGCGCAGAUAUCAGGAGGAACACCGGUGGCGAAGGCGGGUCUCUGGGCAGUAACUGACGCUGAGGAGCGAAAGCGUGGGGAGCGAACAGG